rnacentral:rRNA from 1 species
UACGUAGGGGGCUAGCGUUGUCCGGAAUCAUUGGGCGUAAAGCGCGCGUAGGCGGCCCGGUAAGUCCGUUGUAAAAGUCAAAGGCUCAACCUUUGAAAGCCGAUGGAUACUGCCGGGCUAGAGUCCGGAAGAGGCGAGUAGAAUUCCUGGUGUAGCGGUGGAAUGCGCAGAUAUCAGGAGGAAUACCCAUAGCGAAGGCAGCUCGCUGGGACGGUACUGACGCUGAGGCGCGAAAGCGUGGGGAGCGAACAGG